rnacentral:rRNA from 1 species
GACGAACGCUGGCGGCGUGCUUAACACAUGCAAGUCGAACGAAGUGGCGAACGGGUGAGUAACGCGUAAGCAACCUGCCCUUCAGGGGGGGAAAACAGUUGGAAACGACUGCUAAUACCGCAUACUGAAGGAGGGGCUUGCGUCUGAGUAGCUAGUUGGAGGGUUAACGGCCCACCAAGGCGAGGAGCAGUCGCCGGUCUGAGAGGAUGACCGGCCACACUGGGACUGAGACACGGCCCAGACUCCUACGGGAGGCAGCAGUGGGGAAUCUUCCGCAAUGGACGAAAGUCUGACGGAGCAACGCCGCGUGAGUGAAGAAGGUUUUCGGAUCGUAAAACUCUGUUGUUAGAGAAGCGGUAUCUAACCAGAAAGCCACGGCUAACUACGUGCCAGCAGCCGCGGUAAUUC